rnacentral:rRNA from 1 species
AACGCGUGGAGAACCUGCCGUAUACUGGGGGAUAACACUUAGAAAUAGGUGCUAAUACCGCUCAAGCGCACAGCUUCGCAUGAAGCAGUGUGGAAAACUCCGGUGGUAUACGAUGGAUCUGCGUCUGAUUAGCUUGUUGGCGGGGUAAAGGCCCACCAAGGCGACGAUCAGUAGCCGGCCUGAGAGGGUGAACGGCCACAUUGGGACUGAGACACGGCCCAAACUCCUACGGGAGGCAGCAGUGGGGAAUAUUGCACAAUGGGGGAAACCCUGAUGCAGCGACGCCGCGUGAGUGAAGAAGUAUUUCGGUAUGUAAAGCUCUAUCAGCAGGGAAGAAAUAAAGUCCUUUGGACUUUGGACGGUACCUGACUAAGAAGCCCCGGCUAACUACGUGCCAGCAGCCGCGGUAAUACGUAGGGGGCAAGCGUUAUCCGGAUUUACUGGGUGUAAAGAGAGCGUAGACGGCAGCGCAAGUCUGGAGUGAAAUCCCAUGGCUUAACCAUGGAACUGCUUUGGAAACUGUGCAGCUAGAGU